UUUUAGCCCUGAUCGCAGCGGCAUCCUUUGCUUUUUUGAUAAAAAAAAAGCAAAGAUAUAGCGGAGAGCAGGACGAUGU
rfam:Flavobacterium sp. LM5 Flavobacterium_sp_LM5_contig1, whole genome shotgun sequence.